GAUCCUGGCUCAGGAUGAACGCUAGCUACAGGCUUAACACAUGCAAGUCGAGGGGCAGCAUGUUGGUCGCUUGCAGCCGAUGAUGGCGACCGGCGCACGGGUGAGUAACGCGUAUCCAACCUACCCUUGUCCAUCGGAUAACCCGUCGAAAGGCGGCCUAACACGAUAUGCGGUUCACAGCAGGCAUCUAACGUGAACGAAAUGUGAAGGAGAAGGAUGGGGAUGCGU
rnacentral:rRNA from 1 species